AUUCAUUUCAAUGGGACAAAUUAAAGGAAAAAAGUGGAAUAUUUUAAAAAGUAUAAUAGUUAAAAAUAGCAAAAAUCGUAGCGUAAAUUAGCAGAAAUAGCAGAAUAGUUUAAAAUUUGAACGGUGAAAAUCGGCUGAAAAUUGUGGAAGUAGUUAAGUGCCAAAAGUGUACGGAAGCAACUAGAAUAAUAAUAAUAAUAAAGAAUAAAGAGAAACAGGAACUCAAUAGUGUGGAUGCUUAAAGCAUCCACACAAUAAAGAGAAACAGGAACUCAAUAGUGUGGAUGCUUAAAGCAUCCACACAACUAGAAAGUGCAUUUUCUGAAGAAACUGCAGUGUGAAUGCUUGAAUCUGAAUGUAUGCACUGAAAUGAAUUAAUUACUGAAUUUAAGUUAAAAAUCUUGAAUGAGAUAAAAAAAACAAAAACCCGAAUUUAACCUGAAAACAAAAGUGCUGAACUGCUAAAAGCUGAAGGUUACACAGAAGAAGGAGUUGGAAAAAAACUGAAAAUGUUUUAAUUGUAAAUUAGAAAACCCUAAGAAAUGAGAAAAGAACAUUUAGAGUCAGAAAACAUCUGAAUGAAUAUUAAAAGAUCAUAUUCUUUGAAUCACUGAAUGACUCAAAUGUGAUCCCUCCACUUUGAUCCACACAGUUUAAAAAGUUUAAAUGCCUGAGCUUUGAAAGAUACGGUGUUGGAAAGAGAACAAUAAUGGCGACAAUUUGAGGGUAAAAUGAUGGCUUUAACACUGUGGACACAGCAGCAGUUGAAAGAGAAGUGCUUAAGAUGAAUCUUGGCAGAGUGGCAGGCAGAGCUCGUUAAGCAGGCAGGUGUGAGCCUGGUUGCUAUAGUGACCGCACCCAAUGGCUCCAUACACACAUACACAGACAUGCGCCUCACUUUUGCUGCUUAAAAUGAACAGAAAAGUCAGGCCGAAACAAAUCGUUCCCAAAUGAAAAGUAAAAGUCAUAUUGACAAAAUUCUUUCACCGUGAGUGACAGCAAUGUCUAGUCUAC
ensembl:lncRNA